UCAGGACGAACGCUGGCGGCGUGCCUAAUACAUGCAAGUCGAGCGGACGAUUCAAAAGCUUGCUUUUGAAUCGUUAGCGGCGGACGGGUGAGUAACACGUGGGCAACCUGCCCUGUAGACGGGGAUAACACCGAGAAAUCGGUGCUAAUACCGGAUAACACGAAAGACCGCAUGGUUUUUCGUUGAAAGGCGGCGCAAGCUGUCGCUACAGGAUGGGCCCGCGGCGCAUUAGCUAGUUGGUGAGGUAACGGCUCACCAAGGCGACGAUGCGUAGCCGACCUGAGAGGGUGAUCGGCCACACUGGGACUGAGACACGGCCCAGACUCCUACGGGAGGCAGCAGUAGGGAAUCUUCCGCAAUGGACGAAAGUCUGACGGAGCAACGCCGCGUGAGCGAAGAAGGCCUUCGGGUCGUAAAGCUCUGUUGUUAGGGAAGAACAAGUACCGCAGUCACUGGUGGUACCUUGACGGUACCUAACGAGAAAGCCACGGCUAACUACGUGCCAGCAGCCGCGGUAAUACGUAGGUGGCAAGCGUUGUCCGGAAUUAUUGGGCGUAAAGCGCGCGCAGGCGGUUCCUUAAGUCUGAUGUGAAAGCCCACGGCUCAACCGUGGAGGGUCAUUGGAAACUGGGGGACUUGAGUGCAGAAGAGGAGAGCGGAAUUCCACGUGUAGCGGUGAAAUGCGUAGAGAUGUGGAGGAACACCAGUGGCGAAGGCGGCUCUC
rnacentral:rRNA from 1 species